AGUGAACCAUUUACAAAUUAAAGUGUUCACUCAGAUCAACUGUGCUAAAAGGCUAAGCUAACGUUAGUUGAUCAUUAAAUCUUCACAGCAAUGCAGUAAACGUCACGUUUUAGUUUAAAAGGAGGAGG